rnacentral:rRNA from 1 species
GACGAACCGUGCGAACGUUGUUCGGAAUCACUGGGCUUAAAGGGCGCGUAGGCGGGCUGCCAAGUCUGGGGUGAAAUCCGUCCGGCUCAACCGGAGAACGGCCUCGGAUACUGGCGGUCUCGAGGGAGGUAGGGGCGUGCGGAACUAAGGGUGGAGCGGUGAAAUGCGUUGAUAUCCUUAGGAACUCCGGUGGCGAAGGCGGCACGCUGGACCUCUUCUGACGCUGAGGCGCGAAAGCCAGGGGAGCAAACAGG